rnacentral:rRNA from 1 species
AUGAACGCUAGCGGCAGGCUUAAUACAUGCAAGUUGAGGGGGCAGCAUGAUAUACGCGAGUAUAUUGAUGGCGACCGGCGGACGGGUGAGUAAUAGGUAGGAGACCUACCUCAAUACAGGGGGAUAGCAAUAGAGAAAUCUGUGGUAAUACCCCAUGAGGUUAUAUGAAUAGAGGCAUAUAAUCAAAGCAUAAGCGAUUAUGCGGUAUGAGAGGGGCCUACUGACCAUUAGCUAGUUGGUGAGGUAAGGGCUCACCAAGGCGAAGAUGGUUAGGGGUUUUGAGAGAGAGACCCCCCACAUUGGAACUGAGAGACGGUCCAGACUCCUACGGGAGGCAGCAGUAGGGAAUAUUGGGCAAUGGGCGAAAGCCUGACCCAGCCAUGCCGCGUGAAGGAAGACGGCCUUAUGGGUUGUAAACUUCUUUACUACGCGAAUAGAGGUUAGUACGAGAUACUAAUAGGAAGGUAGUGUAGUAAAAAGCACCGGCUAACUCCGUG